AACGAACGUUAGCGGCGCGCCUAACACAUGCAAGUCGCACGAGAAAGGGCUUCGGCCCCGGUAAAGUGGCGCACGGGUGAGUAACACGUGGGUAAUCUGCCCUCGAGCGGGGGAUAACAUUCCGAAAGGGAUGCUAAUACCGCAUAAGACCACAAGCCUCGCAAGAGGUGGCGGUCAAAGCUGGCCUCUGUAUACACGCUAGCACUUGAGGAUGAGCCCGCGGCCCAUCAGGUAGUUGGUAGGGUAACGGCCUACCAAGCCAACGACGGGUAGCUGGUCUGAGAGGAUGAUCAGCCACACUGGAACUGAGACACGGUCCAGACUCCUACGGGAGGCAGCAGUGGGGAAUCUUGCGCAAUGGGCGAAAGCCUGACGCAGCGACGCCGCGUGAGUGAUGAAGGCCUUCGGGUUGUAAAGCUCUGUGGGGAGAGACGAAUAAGUUCAGGCUAAUACCCUGCAUGAUGACGGUAUCUCCUUAGCAAGCACCGGCUAACUCUGUGCCAGCAGCCGCGGUAAUAC
rnacentral:rRNA from 1 species